ACAUACAGCUUUCAGAUAAACAAGCUCCUUUCUAUAAUAUAUUUUAUUGAAUCUAAUUAAAAGUUUGAGCAUGAACAUUAGAGCGUGAAUUCUUGUUGAAAGGUAAACGAUAAAGCUGUGUUGUUUAUAUUUGGAUUUAUAGAUUGCUUUCUGCAGAGUGUGAAGCUGUACCCUACCGAAAAAAGGAAAAUGAAAGAAAGAUAUAAAAGACAUAUUGAGAAGAAAUAUUAGAACAGGAAAAAGAAGUGGAAGUCAGUGAAAGAAAUACUUAACCCGGCUUAAAAGACUUUUCAAAUCGCUUUAUGGGAUACCUGACGCACAUGGAUAGGUACACAGCUGCUCUUCUUGUGAUCGGGAUGUAUGCUUGGUGUUAUGGUCAAAGUGCAGUCAAAAGUUCUUGGCCAAAAGAGCAUGGUCUGAUAUUUACCAUAUCAAACAGAUAUGGUGGUUUUCAGCGAACGAAAGUUAAACUGCGCCAUCUACCGAUAUAUCCAGGUUAUGAGAAUUUCUCGGGUCGUGUUCCUGGUAUUAACCUUUCAAACCCCAAUUCUCACUUCCUCAGUAUUGAUGUGGAUUACAGAACAAAAUGUAUUUAUAUGUAUGACUAUCAUCUGAGGUCAAUAGUGGUUGGAAUUGGUUACAGUAAAGAUCUGAAUAUGAGCAACAUGGAAUUUAAACAUAUGCACGUUGGAGUGUCAAGAGGGAAUAUUCAAGUAGCAGUUGAUUGGCUGUCGCACACGGUGUACUGGACAGAUACAGUGUUUCGAUGGAUUGUAGCAGCACCUGGUCAGAAAAGCAAGAUCGAUAUGGAUUAUUAUAAAAUUAUUGCUGAUAUUCAUCUUGAUAAACCUGAUGGUUUAACAGUUGACCCACUUGAAGGGUAUCUCUUUUGGUCAGAUAAUGGAAAACAUCCUAAAAUAGAACGUUCAGACUUAAUGGGAAUGAGCCGACACACGAUUUAUUCCAAAUAUUUAGUGUCACCACUUACUCUGGAGGCAGAUAUAUUCGGAAAACGAAUUUAUUGGAUUGAUUCAGAACAACAGUCAAUUUUGUCAUCCACCUACAAUGGGGAAGAUGUCAUAUCGAUACGGAGGAUUCCAAAUUCAAUGUUAUUUGAUUUGGCAAUAUUUAGGGAGGUUAUAUAUAUUAAUGAUGUUCGUGGUACAGUGUAUACUCUAAACAAAACCAAAGGUAUACGUUUGGGUGUACAAGAGUCAACUACUAUAUCAUUUUUCCCAGAACGCGUCUAUGGUAUAGCUGUAUACGGAGAUGAAAAUCAACCUCUGAAAGAUAAAGAUUAUUGCGCUGAGAAGAACUGUGAUCAUUUAUGUAUAUCAACAAAAACUGGUGCAGAAUGUGUAUGUUCUGAGGGAUACAAAAAAAACGAAACCAGCGGCAAAUGUCAAGAAUUGAAUGAGGGCUUUCUCAAAGCAAUUGUUGUGGCAAACAGGACUCAUCUCUGUUUAACAGACAUUCGCUCACUUGCACAAGCAGAGUACGAUUACGUGUGCAAAUUUACUGUAAGCAAACAGUUUACAGACACAAGUACUCCUUCCCCAGCAAGAAGAAAAAAGAGAAAAGCUUUGACAUCGACAUUGCCAACUGCAAGUACUACAACGGCAAGGCUAAAAUAUAGUUCAACACCGUGGCUUACAACUUCUACAACAACUAUGUCAACAGCCAUGCCAGACUCUUUAUCAAAAGCUUGGCCGCGUUUUAUUUCAACAACGAGUCAGACUCGGCCAGCAACCAGUCAAACGGUUGUAAAGACAGCAAUACCGCUUACAGAAGAACCAGUCGACUUCAUCAAAAUGUUUGACAUGGACAUGGAGAACAGAAUCUUCUUUUUCGCCACAGAGGGCAAUACAAUAUAUAAAAGACCUAUAGAUUUGCCGAUUGAGAACAAUGUAAAAGAAACAAUCGUUAAACCGACUGGUAUUAUAACUGGUCUUGCUUAUGACGCAGAGGACACUGACAAUUUGUACUGGUGUGAGUCUAACACAAAUAGCGUGUGGGUUGUAAACGUUGUAACUAGGGCGUCCAAAGUUAUCUACAACAAUAUUUCAAAUCCCAAAGAUAUCGUGGUUCUUUUGGAACACAGAAUGUUAGCAAUGAUAACAGGAACAAACGAAGACAUGUAUAUUAAAACAAUGACCAUAGACGGUUUAAAUGUUAAGAACAUUACACGUGGAAGACAGAAGAUUUCCGCAUUUACAUUUGAUAGUAACAAAAACUUGUUCUAUUACAUGGUCGACGGAUACAUGGGAAGAUACAAAAACAUGUACAGUAUAUCAUUUGAUACAAAGAGUACACAUUUGAUCUUCUAUCCAGUACACGCCAAUGCAUCUAACGUUUUUGUCUAUCAAAAUUACUUAGUUUGGAUUCAUCCUACAAACACUGGAGGUCGUUAUGUAAGUUCGUAUACCCUCAACUCCAGAAGGAAUGGUGAGAGCAACUAUAAGUACCGGAUCAUUGGAAACACCUCUGUUGAUAUAGUAGACAUGAAGGGUUUAGACAAACGUCUUCAGUCAACAAAUAUAACAAGUCCUUGUGCAUACGAAGAUGGUGGGUGUUCUCAAAUCUGCAUAACACAUUACACUAAUGAUGAAAUGACGCCUGUAUGCGAAUGCCGUCUAGGAUAUAUCCUUGACAAAGAUAAUGUUACCUGUAGUUCAACUAUUGUAGACGAUAACUUUCUCGUUGUGGCUGAUCUGAAAAAUAAAAAGUUACUUCAAAUAAGCCUGGAGAAUGGUAACAUCAGUGCCAUGCCAAACUCGGAUAAUGAUGAUUAUAGAGGUGUCUUCAUUGAUGUUGAUACAAAGAAAAUAAUAUGGUCAGAAAAUCAUGACGGUAACAUAUACACCGCCAAUUUGAACGGGACAGACCAGCAAACACUAAAAGAUAUAGGAGAUUCAGGUUAUCCAUAUCGUUUUGACAAGGAUAUGACAACAGGAAACUUGUACUUCACCACCUACUAUCAUUCUUUUAUUGGAGUAUUAACACCCUCAGGAGAUUUCUUUGCUCUGAAUGUUGCUUAUUUAUGGAUAAUUCCUGGCGAUAUUGUGGUUCAUCCUGGAAAAGGAUUUAUGUACUACACAACCUAUAACCGGCCAUAUGUGGGCCGUGCAGACAUGGAUGGGAAAAACAGCGUUAAGUUAAUCCAGGGAAACCAUGUUGAAAAACCUGAAGGUCUAACAAUCGACUUUAUUAAUGAUCACCUAUACUGGGCUGAUUCAGUGUACGAUACAAUACAGCGUUGUGAUCUUGAUGGAGAAGACUGUGUUACUAUAGUGAACAUCACGGGAACUGGAUUGGAGCAAAUCAAAGACCUUGUCACAGAUGGAAAAUAUUUGUAUUAUUCCGCGUUCAGAAAAGCUCAUGUCGUUCGUGUGGAGUUGAAACCACCGUACACCAGGACUGUAGUAGGACAGAGUCCGGGCCUAGGAAAUCUUGGUACGAUCGCAUUUUACAGCAGCACAAACAAAAAUAUACAAGCAGUCAGUAAUACAUGUAAAGCUCGCAAUGGUCGUGGAGACUGUAGUACAAUAUGUUUUCCAACUCAGAUUGGUAGAACAUGUGCCUGUGAAAAUGGAAUUUCGCUAAACGCCGACGGUCGAACUUGCUCCAAUGUCUACCAGUGUACAGAUCUUAUUCGGCAGACAGUUUUACUAAGUGGGGGCAAAAAAGUCGAGGUUGAUGUUACGUUCGGUAGUUCUUGUCUACGACAUCUUAACAACAAAUGCAGGUACAGGUGUCCAGCCAAUUUCGUGCCACGUUUUGACACCAUUUUAACAUGCACGAAUGUGGGUUGGGAUCUGGAGUCAGAAACGCUCUGUAAAGAAUUAAGAUGUUCAACAGUUAUUGACAACGGCCAGGUUGAUUCAAAUUGUACACGAGAAGUGGGCCGAACAUGCGAUUACCAGUGUAAUAAGGGCUUUCUAAAGACGGCAGAAAUUGUCGUUUGUACCAAAAAUGGAACGUAUCAUAUACCGGAAAGUGGAUUGUGUGCAGCGGUAAAAUGUCCGUCAAGAAUACCAAAUGGAGAAAUGAAUGGAACAUGUAGCCAAACAAUUGGAGAAACAUGCGAGUAUAAAUGUAAUUGUGGUUUUAAAGCAGACAGCUCCCUUCUUAAAAUAACAUGUAAUAGUACCGGACAAUGGGGCGCAGCAGACAACGUAUGCCUUGAGAUGAAGUGUCCAGGUACUAUCGACAAUGGAAAAGUAAGUCAAGACUGCCAAAGAAAAAUUGGUGACAAAUGCAAUUAUGAAUGCGAUGACGGUUUCGUUAUGACGAGGGAAAAAGUUGUAUGCACAGGAAAUGGAACAUACCAUGUACCUGAAAAUGGUCUUUGCACGCAAUACAAAUGUAGUGAUACAAUUGAAAAUGGUAAACUGGAUAAGGACUGUACAAGAACUCUUGCUGAAACGUGCACGUACAGGUGUAACAAGUACUUUUCUUCAUCAUUCAGUGACAGACGAACUAUCUGUCAAGUUGACGGAUGGAAUCCGGAUUCCUCCGCUCUUUGUACAGAAUCUGUAUGUGCAAAUAAUUCUCUGGCAAAUGGAAAUAUCACAGGAAAAUGUUCGAGUAAAGUUGGUGACAAGUGUAUGGUUCGAUGUAACCAAGGUUUUGUCAAUACAACAAAUGUAGCCGUUUGUUUAGAAGAUCUUGUAUGGCAUCCAAAGGACAUAUGCAUCGCAUUUAAAUGUAGUGAUACAAUUGAAAAUGGUAAACUGGAUGGGGACUGUAGAAGAACGCUAGGUGAAACGUGCACGUACCGGUGUAACAAACACUUUUCUCAAACACUCAGUGACACAAAAACUACCUGUCAAGCUGACGGAUGGAAUCCGGAUUCCUCCGCUCUUUGUAAAGAACCUAUAUGUGCGAAUAUUUACCUGGCUAAUGGAAAUAUCGUAGGAAGAUGCUCAAGUAAAGUUGGUGACACGUGCAAGUUUCAAUGUGAGCCAGGUUUUGUCAAUACAACUGAUGUAGUCGUUUGUUUAGAUGAUCUUGUAUGGCAUCCGAAGGACGCAUGUACAGGUUACAAGUGCGACGAUCAAAUUGAAAAUGGAGCAUUAGAAGAUGGAUGUACAAGGACGAUCGGUUCUUCGUGUCAAUACAGCUGUAAUAAAUAUUUUAAGUCAAGCAUCGCAACGCAGCUAAUUACCUGCCAGGCUACUGGAUGGAAUCUGGGGACAUCUGAACUUUGCAAAGAAUCGGUAUGUGAGGACAAAACUUUAACAAAUGGGAGAACAAUGGGGCAAUGCACAAGCAAAAUUGGCGAGACGUGUAUGGUACAGUGUGAUAAAGGUUACAUUAAUACAACCGAUAAAGUCGUUUGUCAGGAUGACAGUACAUGGCAUCCUUCUGACUCAUGCACAGUAUUCACAUGUAGUGAUAAAAUUGAAAAUGGUAGCUUGGAUCCAGGAUGUGCAAGAAGAGUUGGUACAUCUUGCAAAUACAGUUGUAAUAAAUAUUAUACUCCAAGUGUAAAAGACUUCGAAAUUAAAUGCGAGGCCAGUGGAUGGAGCCCUGUGGCAAUUAAUCUCUGCAGUGUUUCUGCAUGUGAGGACAGUUCCCUCUCCAAUGGAAAGAUAAUAGGAACUUGUUCUAAAAAAAUUGGUGACGUUUGUGAGUUCCAGUGCGACAAAGGUUAUGCAAAUACAACUGACUUAGUUGUCUGCAAAAGCGAUAAAAUGUGGAAUCCUAGUGAGUCUUGUGAGGUUGUGAAGUGCCUUACUACAGUUCCAGAUGGAGAAAUUACAAGAACCUGCGAUUUUUCCAUAGGAGCAAAAUGCACUUUCAAAUGUAAUGCUGGCUUUAUUGCAAACGAACUUUAUCAAAGCAUCACAUGUAAUAGCAGUGGACAGUGGGACGCUUCGGAAGAACUUUGUCUUGCUAUAAAAUGUUCGCCUUACGUACCAAAUGGAGAGAUCACUGGGACAUGUGACUUAGCCAUAGGGGCAACAUGCAAGUUUACGUGCUACAGUGACUUUAAAGCAACUGACCUACAUACGAAUAUAACUUGCAACGCAAGUGGACAUUGGAACAUAACAAAUAAUCUAUGUCUUGAGCGAAUAAGUGUCACCAGAGAAUCGUCGUCAUCAAAUGGAUUACCUGUUCCAGGUGUCGCUGCUGGUAUAGCCAUUUUGCUAUUAGCAGUCUUCUUGCUAAUCGGUGCUUUUAUAUUUCUGUUUCUAAGACGUAGCAGCAAUUUGUCACCCUUUCGCCAUAGUAAACCAACCGCCUUUGAAAAUCCAGGUUAUUUACGGAAUAUUGACACCCCUGUCCAAACUAUAGAUGAAUCCUAUGUUGUACACAGCUGCUCUUCUUGUGAUCGGGAUGUAUUCUUGGUGCUAUGGUCAAAGUGCAGUCCAAAGUCCCUGGCCAAAAGAUAUGGUUGGCGGACUAAAGUUCAACUGCGCCAUCUGCCGAUGUAUCCAGGUUAUGAGAAUUUCUCGGGUCACGUUCCUGUUGUUAACUUUUCAAAGCCAAAUACUCACUUCCUCAGUAUCGAUGUCGAUUACAGAACAAAAUGUAUCUAUAGGUAUGAAUAUCAUCUUAGGUCAUAGUCGUUGGAACAGGCUACACUAAAGAUAUGAAUAGGAGCAACAUGGAAUGUAAACAUAUGCACGUAGGGGUGUCAAGAGAAAAUAUCCAAGUAGUAGUAGAUAGGCUGUCGCACACGGUGUACUUGACCGAUUCGGCCUUUCGAUGGAUUGUAGCAGCACCUGGUCAGAAAAACAAGACCGAUAUGGAUUAUCAUAAAAUUAUUGCUGACACCCAUCUGGACAAACCUGAUGAUUUAACACUUGACCCACUUGAAGGAUAAUGGAAAACAUCCUAAAAUAGAACGUUCAGACUUAAAGGGAAGGAGCCGGCAAACGAUCUAUUCGAAACAUUUAGAGUCACCACUCACUCUUGAGGCAGAUAUAUUUGAAAAAAACGGAUUUAUUGGAUUGAUUCUAAACAAGAGUCAAUAUUGUCAACAACCUACACACACCGGAGAAGAUGUCAUAUCGAUCCAGAGGAUUCCAAUGUUAUUUGAUUUGGCAAUAUUUAGGGAGGUUAUAUACAUCAGUGAUGUUCGUAAUGGUAACGUGUAUACUCUACACAAAACCAAAGGUAUACAUUUGGGUAAACAAGAGUCAACAACUAUAAGAAUUUUCCCAGAAACUAUCUAUGUUCUAGCUGUAUACGGAGAUGAAAAUCAACCUCUGAAAGAUAAAGAAAUGUUAUGGACAUAUUCAUUAAAAACCAACAACGUUAUGUGCUGCAAAUGAGACAAUGAGGUAGUGAAGUACACAUGAAUAGGAUUUCCAAAAGUCACUGUGUGGGCCUUGAAUAGACGAGAAACAACAUUUCCAAAUAGCAAUGCUAGUGGAAGAAGCAAAACAUGAUUCAAAAAGUUUAAAGGACUAACCCUCACACUAUUAUUGCGCCGAGAGAACUGGGAUCAUUUAUGUAUAUCAACAAAUUCUGGUGCAGAAUACGUAUGUUCUGAGGGAUACAAGAAACAUGAAACCAGUGGCAAAUGUCAAGAUUGAAUUGAAUGAAGGCUUCCUCAAAGCAAUUGUUGUGGCGGACAGGACUCAUAUCUGCUGAACAGACUUUUGCUCAUUUGCACAAACAGAGUACGAUUACGUGUGCAAAUUUACUGUAAACAAACAGUUUACAGCCACAAGUUCGCCUUCCCCAGCAAGAAGAAAGAAGAGACAAUUUAGGAGAUCGCUUUUGCCAACUGCAAAUACUACAACGGCGAGGCAGAGAAACAGCGCAACAUCGUGGCAUACAACUUCUACAAUAACUAUGACAACAGCCAUGUCACACUCUUUAUCAACAGCUUGGUCGCACAGCAUUUCGUCAACGAGUAAGUUUCGACCAGCAACCAAGCCAACGGUUGUAAAGACAACAAUACCGCCUACAGAAGCACCAGUCCACUUCAUCAAAUUGUUUGACAUGGACAUGGAGAAUAGAAUCUCCUUUUUCGCCAUAGAGGGCAAUACAAUAUAUAAAAGACCUAUAGAUUUGCCGAUUGAGAACAAUGUAAAGGAAACAGUCGUUAAAACGACUGGAAUUAUAACUGAAUGUUAGCAAUGAUAACAGGAACGAAUAGAGACAUGUAUAUUAAAACAAUGACCAUGGACGGUGUAAAUGUUAAAAACAUUACACGUGGAAGACAGAUGAUUUCCGCAUUUACAUUUGAUAGUCGCAAAAACUUGUUCUACUACAUUGUGGGAAGAUACAUGUACAGUACAUCAUUUAAUAUAGAGAGUACAAAUAUAAUCCUCUAUGACAUUUAUGUUUCAAUAUAAUAGUGACAGUAUUAAAUUAUUUUAAGUGUAUAAUCUUUGAUCGAAGUUACAUUUUACAUUCAAAUUGUUUUAGUUAAUUAAUUGAUGGGAGAAAAAAUCAUUUAAAAAUAAUUCAUUAAGCUUUUAUGAGAUGAUACGUUAUAUCGGAAAAAGACGUGAUACAACAGCCCAUAAGAAUAUAUAGUGGUAACAAUUUCAAAAGUAUGUAUACAUAAAUAUAAUUUAUAUAAGAUGCAAGAAAGUGCUGUUUCGUACAUGCAUGUUUUACAUAGAAGUUUGAUAGGUUUGAUUAGUAAAUAUUCGUCAAAUUCAAAAGUAACAUUGCUUGCAUUUUAAAACAGUCACUAAAAUUACAAUCAAAUAUACCAAAUACAGCUGAUUUACUUUAUAGAAAACCCACAUUAUAUUUCAAAAUAAACAGCACAACACGACUAUUGUAUUAGAGACAUCAUAACGAGAUUAGUAAAUGGGUAGUUUCUAUAAAGGUGGUAUACAGAAGUAUAUACUGUAUCUAUAGAGUUUUUGCCAAAAUAUAACAAAUGUUAUUAUGGCAUUACGAUCUGUUAGAUCUGUUUUUUUUGUUAACCUAUUCAACUUUACGCCCUUAGUGAAGUGAACCAAAUUUAGACAUAAUAUAAUAGAUUCUUUGUUAUUGCUUUAAAUACCAAAACAAUCGAAAAUCAAUUGUGUCUUGAUUUUCUGUUGUAUUUUCAUAAAAAUAAUAACUGAUUUAACAACCCAUUCUUCUAACUAAUUUUGCACCAGAUGACGUUACUUUGUUCUACCAGUGCAUUAUUCAAUUGUGUAAAGCGAGUGUUCUGCCUAGUACAGACACAUUGGAAUGUUACGAGACGUAGUGUCAUACACACACUAAGUUAAGCGGUCUUUGACAGUUCCUGGAACACAUGUGCAUUAUGUCCCUAAUGACUGAUUAAAUUCCUUCAGUGUGUCAUCAGUCUGAUUUCUAUUCCUGAUCAUUUGAGAAUUUUUGACGUUCAUUAUGUGGAAAUGUGACCGAGGAGGUUAAACUUUAGAAAAAAAUUAUGAUCAAUGCUGCUCCGUAAGAAAAACUGCAAUUUUAAAUGGAUUCAUAAAGUUAUGCAUAUUGUAGAAUAAUAAUGACAAAUACAAUCAAUCCUAUUUGGUGUUUCAAUAGGUACUACCCAUUAAGAAGACGUUUCCCGUUUGCCAGUUUGCUGUCAUUUACUUGUGAAUCACUCAAACACCUGUUUGCCCUCCGUGACCUCGGUACAUGUCUUUGAAGCUUACCGGCAUGUCAUUGGGAAUUGAGCGUGUACAUUUCACUAUGGGAGGGAUUUAUCGAUAAGCAUGUUGCAAAACACUCGGUUAGGACAAAACCAAAAUUUUGUU